GACGAACGCUGGCGGCGUGCCUAAUACAUGCAAGUCGAACGCAGUGGGGACGGGUGAGUAACACGUGGGUAACCUCCCAUCAGAGGGGAGAACACUUGGAUACAGGUGCUAAACCGAUACUGAUGGAUGGAUCCGCGGUGCAUUAGCUAGUGGGUGAGGUAACGGGGCACCAAGGCCACGAUGCAUAGCCGACCUGCGAGGGUGAGCGGCCAAACUGGGACUGUGACACGGCCCAGACUCCUACGGGAGGCAGCAGUAGGGAAUCUUCGGCAAUGGACGAAAGUCUGACCCAGCAAUGCCGCGUGAGUGAAGAAGGUUUUCGGAUCGUAAAACUCUGUUGGUAGAGAAGCGGUAUCUAACCAGAAAGCCACGGCUAACUACGUGCCAGCAGCCGCGGUAAUAC
rnacentral:rRNA from 1 species